UCGGCUGUGUAUCUCUGUGUC
rnacentral:miRNA from 1 species